rnacentral:lncRNA from 1 species
AGUCAUUGUUCAACUUCAUGGCCAGCGAUAUGUUUUGUACAUGAUGGCGGUAGCAGACAAGGUAUUUUUCUAUGCUAGUGAAUUGUGAUUACCUAGGCACCUCAUGCCUCGUUUGUGACUUAUAUUUUUUAUAUUUGACUAGAUGAAGGUCGAGCUAGAAAAGAUGCUGGAGGCCAAGGAUCAAGCUGUCGCUCUUUACAAGGGUACAGAGGUGGAGCGGGCAAGGUUUGUAGCUAAAGAAAAGGAGUACAAGGACCAGCUGAAUAAGAUGGGCAUGGAGCUGAAUGCUAGCUUGUCCUACGAGCAAAGGCUUCAAGAAGAAAUAAAGGCAUUAAGAGUAUGGGAGGAGAAGGCCAAUCAAAGGGCUGAACUCGAGAAACAAAGGGCCCAUGAGGAGCAUGCUCGGAUUAGGGAGGCCAUCCAAAAAGUUAAAAAGGCCAAUUGUUGGGCUAAGGACGCUAUUCAGAGGGCGAAUGAGGCCGAGGUUAAGGCUAUCAAAGCUGUGGAGACUUGGGGGGAGUCUACUAAAUUUGAUCCUUAGCUCAGGACGCUUAGGUGGUGGCCCUGGAGGAGCUCAUCAAGCAUAUUAAUAAGGAAAGUCCUGACUUUGACGCUUCCUUGAGGGCGCCCUUAACAAGCAGAAAAAGGAAUUGAAGAGGCUAACCGAAGCUGCAGGAGUUCGGGUGUCCCCUGCUAACAAAGAUACUGAGCCUAACUCCCUAG